AACGAACGCUGGCGGCAUGCCUAACACAUGCAAGUCGAACGAGACCUUCGGGUCUAGUGGCGCACGGGUGCGUAACGCGUGGGAACCUGCCCUUAGGUCCGGAAUAACUCCCCGAAAGGGGUGCUAAUACCGGAUAAUGUCUUCGGACCAAAGAUUUAUCGCCUUUGGAUGGGCCCGCGUUGGAUUAGCUAGUUGGUAGGGUAAAAGCCUACCAAGGCGACGAUCCAUAGCUGGUCUGAGAGGAUGAUCAGCCACACUGGGACUGAGACACGGCCCAGACUCCUACGGGAGGGAGCAGUGGGGAAUAUUGGACAAUGGACGAAAGCCUGAUCCAGCAAUGCCGCGUGAGUGAUGAAGGCCUUAGGGUUGUAAAGCUCUUUUACCCGGGAUGAUAAUGACAGUACCGGGAGAAUAAGCUCCGGCUAACUCCGUG
rnacentral:rRNA from 1 species